rnacentral:rRNA from 1 species
CGGACGAGUGAGUAAUGUCUGGGAAACUGCCCGAUGGAGGGGGAUAACUACUGGAAACGGUAGCUAAUACCGCAUAACGUCGCAAGACCAAAGAGGGGGACCUUCGGGCCUCUUGCCAUCGGAUGUGCCCAGAUGGGAUUAGCUAGUAGGUGGGGUAACGGCUCACCUAGGCGACGAUCCCUAGCUGGUCUGAGAGGAUGACCAGCCACACUGGAACUGAGACACGGUCCAG